rnacentral:rRNA from 1 species
AUCCCUACGGGACGCAGCAGUGAGGAAUAUUGGUCAAUGGGAGAGAUCCUGAACCAGCCAAGCCGCGUGAGGGAAGACGGCCCUAUGGGUUGUAAACCUCUUUGCCGGAGAACAAAACCCGGGACGUGUCCCGGACUGCGCGUAUCCGAAGAAAAAGCAUCGGCUAACUCCGUGCCAGCAGCCGCGGUAAUACGGAGGAUGCGAGUGUUAUCCGGAUUUAUUGGGUUUAAAGGGUGCGUAGGCGGUCCAUUAAGUCAGCGGUAAAAUUGCGGGGCUCAACCCCGUCGAGCCGUUGAAACGGGCAG